rnacentral:lncRNA from 1 species
AUUUUUUAUAAAUUUGAUUUUCUAAUCCAAAAGUAAAAAAAAUUAAUUAAUAAAAUUUAAGUUAUUAAAUUAAUUAAUUUAAUAUUUGGGAAAAUUUAAAUUGCAGUAAACUUAAAUAUAGUAUUCUCUCUUAUACCUGUAAAUUUCAUUAACUUAGCUUUAAAAUUAAAGAAAAACCAAAUUUUACCCAUCUGGUCCCUUAACAGUGGUCUGAGGUCCGGAAAUAGAAUGGAGAUGUUAGGAGAAUACACUCUUUUCUUUAACAGAACUAAUGUUUAUUAAGAAAAGGAAGAGAAAAGAGUACAGUAAAAAGAAAAUGAGACACUCAAUUUUAAAUGUGUAAUUAAAUGAAAAGAGGGGAGGGGGCAGAUGCCAAAAUGUUGUGGCAUAGUGUGGCCCAUGGAAGACUUAUCUGGAGAGACUUCUUUCAUUAAAUUGACUGUGAUCAAUCUGUUCUUGCCCUCUUGCUGGUGGCUUAUUUUCUCCCCAAAUCUGGGAGUUGUUUCUUUCCUUCAGUGGACUCCUGCUGUGUCCAUUUUACUUUCUUCUCUGUUUAUUCUCCCCCACUCUCAUAUUAUACAUCAAGUAUAAAUAUCGUCUUAUUUAUACUUGAUGUAGAAUUUUUAGAGUUGCAGGUGUUCAUCAGCUACUCUCAGAUCAGAGAUGGUCAUUCUUUUAUUUUUUACAGCAAGCAAUAACUUAGAGCAGGGAUGUCAAACUGGCGGCCCGUGGGCCGCAUGCGGCCCUCAAUGCGAUUUUUUGUGGCCC